CCUACGGGAGGCAGCAGUGAGGAAUAUUGGUCAAUGGACGCGAGUCUGAACCAGCCAUGCCGCGUGCGGGAGGACGGCUCAGUGAGUUGUAAACUGCUUUUGUACGGGGGUAAACACAGAUACGCGUAUCUGUCUGAGAGUAUCGUACGAAUAAGGAUCGGCUAACUCCGUGCCAGCAGCCGCGGUAAUACGGAGGAUUCAAGCGUUAUCCGGAUUUAUUGGGUUUAAAGGGUGCGUAGGGGGUCGGGUAAGUUAGAGGUGAAAGCCCGGGGCUCAACUUCGGACUUGCCGUUGAUACUGGUCGGCUCGAGAUUAGUUGCGGUAGGCGGAAUGUAUGGUGUAGCGGUGAAAUGCUUAGAGAUCAUACAGAACACCGAUUGCGAAGGCAGCUUACCAAGC
rnacentral:rRNA from 1 species